rnacentral:rRNA from 1 species
AGUGAACGCUGGCGGUAGGCCUAACACAUGCAAGUCGAACGGCAGCACAGUAAGAGCUUGCUCUUACGGGUGGCGAGUGGCGGACGGGUGAGGAAUACAUCGGAAUCUACUUUUUCGUGGGGGAUAACGUAGGGAAACUUACGCUAAUACCGCAUACGACCUACGGGUGAAAGCAGGGGAUCUUCGGACCUUGCGCGAUUGAAUGAGCCGAUGUCGGAUUAGCUAGUUGGCGGGGUAAAGGCCCACCAAGGCGACGAUCCGUAGCCGGUCUGAGAGGAUGGUCGGCCACACGGGAACGGGACCACGGACCAGACUCCUACGGGACGCAGCAGUGGGGAAUAUUGGGCAAUGGGCGCAAGCCUGAUCCAGCCAUACCGCGUGGGUGAAGAAGGCCUUCGGGUUGUAAAGCCCUUUUGUUGGGAAAGAAAAGCAGCAGGUUAAUACCCCGCUGUUCUGACGGUACCCAAAGAAUAAGCACCGGCUAACUUCGUG